ensembl:lncRNA
AGCUCAGGGUGCAGAAGAGCGCUCAUGGCCUGCUGGGAGAGGGGAAAUAAUUGUUCAUUAACCUUUGAACUCGAGAAGGCGUCAAUUCAGAGGGAUCUUAGACACUUCUAGAGACCGGAAUAUCAAAGAAACUUGAGGAUGGGCUCUUUUGACAACGGCAGUGCACACUGGGCGAAGAGGAGGAGGGAUAAUUAUUAUGCCAUUUCUCCACACCUUAACACAGGCUGCUGGGCGGAGGCCAAUCUCAGAGAUGCUCUAACGUGAGGCUGCAUGACAGUGUAAAUUACAUUAGGCCUUCGGUAUGUGUAACAGACGUCUGAAGUUCAAACGCAGACCAGCACCGUCACUCCUACAGGUGCUGAAAUGUGAUUGGCAGAGGAGGAUCCAGGGGGAGGGUGCAGAGAUGGGUGAAGUGCUUCUCAUUUUUGAGGAUGCUGCAGUGAGAUAAGAGCAGCGCAUGAUGGACAAAAUGCAGGCUGCCUUUAUUAAGAUGGAAAUGCAUAUGUGUGUUUGAAUCCAUUAACUAGAUAGUUCAUAAACUUUGUGCAUCAAAAACGGUGCAACCGUUGCCUGUUAUCUGCAGAUAUCAUGGGGUGAAAAUAUGCCCAGACACUGGCUGACCGGUGCUAAAUAAAUAAUAAUUAUAAUUUUUUUACACAAGUAACAUAUUGCAAGUUUUAAUUUAUUUUAUUUGAAGGUUAUAUUAAAUC